rnacentral:rRNA from 1 species
UACGUAGGGUGCGAGCGUUGUCCGGAAUUAUUGGGCGUAAAGAGCUCGUAGGCGGUCUGUUGCGUCCGCUGUGAAAACUCGGGGCUUAACCCCGAGCCUGCAGUGGAUACGGGCAGACUAGAGUUCGGUAGGGGAGUCUGGAAUUCCUGGUGUAGCGGUGAAAUGCGCAGAUAUCAGGAGGAACACCGAUGGCGAAGGCAGGUCUCUGGGCCACUACUGACGCUGAGAAGCGAAAGCAUGGGGAGCGAACAGG